CCUACGGGAGGCAGCAGUGGGGAAUAUUGCACAAUGGGGGAAACCCUGAUGCAGCGACGCCGCGUGAGGGAAGAAGUAUCUCGGUACGUAAAGCUCUAUCAGCAGGGAAGAAAAUGACGGUACCUGACUAAGAAGCCCCGGCUAACUACGUGCCAGCAGCCGCGGUAAUACGUAGGGGGCAAGCGUUAUCCGGAUUUACUGGGUGUAAAGGGGGCGUAGACGGCAGGGCAAGUCUGGAGUGAAAUGCCGGGGCCCAACCCCGGAACUGCUUUGGAAACUGUGCAGCUCGAGUGUAGGAGAGGUAGGCGGAAUGCCUAGUGUAGCGGUGAAAUGCGUAGAGAUUAGGAGGAACACCAGUGGCGAAGGCGGCUUACUGGACUACAACUGACGUUGAGGCUCGAAAGCGUGGGGAGCAAACAGGAUUAGAUACCCGAGUAGUC
rnacentral:rRNA from 1 species